rnacentral:rRNA from 1 species
AAUCUGCCCCUUGGUUCGGAAUAACAGCUAGAAAUGACUGCUAAUACCGGAUGACGUCUUCGGACCAAAGAUUUAUCGCCAAGGGAUGAGCCCGCGUAGGAUUAGCUAGUUGGUGAGGUAAAAGCUCACCAAGGCGACGAUCCUUAGCUGGUCUGAGAGGAUGAUCAGCCACACUGGGACUGAGACACGGCCCAGACUCCUGCGGGAGGCAGCAGUGGGGAAUAUUGGACAAUGGGCGAAAGCCUGAUCCAGCAAUGCCGCGUGAGU